AUGGUUGAGGUUCUACCACUCACAGAGGGGGUGGCUCCAAUCGGUUGCGGCGCUGGCUGGGAGUUGUGUUUUGGAGAAGUUGUCGUCGAUUUUUCGAAGGUGCAACAAUGGUUGUCUCGGAAGCUUUCACGAGUUUUCUUUGUUGCAACAAUGAUUCAAUCUCUGGUGUGGUAUGAAAUGUUUAUGGUGUUUUGUGAAGAAUGGCUAUUGGUACAUUGA